rnacentral:ribozyme from 1 species
UCUUCUUCUUCUUCUUCUUCUUCUUCUUCUUCGCCUGCCUCAGACCCACAAGAAAGAGAGCUUCAUGAUGUUAUGAGAGAAGUGUGGGAAAACAGACCACCAUCUGUUCUCGUUGAAGAGAAUGCAAAAAGGAAAAAGAAACUCCCAGAAGUUCCAUUACGUCGCUCAAAUCGCCCAGAAGUUUACCUCUUUGGGACUCGACCUAUUCAUGUUCGAAUGACAGA